rnacentral:rRNA from 1 species
GACGAACGCUGGCGGCGUGCUUAACACAUGCAAGUCGAACGGAAAGGCGCUGCUUUUGUGGGGUGCUCGAGUGGCGAAGGGGAGGGUAACAUGAGAGUAACCUGACCUUGACUUUGGGAUAACUUCACGAAACUGGGGCUAAUCUCGGACAGGAGCUCCUGCUGCUUGGUCGUGGUUGGUCAGUUUCGGCGGUUGGGGCUGGACUCGCGGCUCAUCAGCUUGUUGGUGGGGUAGUGGCUGACCAGGGCUUUGACGGGUAGCCGGCCUGAGCGGGUGUCCGGCCACGCUGGGACUGCGACACGGCCCAGACGCCUACGGUAGGGAGCAGUGGGGAAUAUUGUAAUAUGGGCGGAAGCCGGAUGCAGCGGCGCCGCGUGCGUGAUGACGGCCUUCGGGUUGUGAACCGCUUUCGCCUGUGAUGUGGCGGGGGUGACGGUAAUGGGUAAAGAAGCGCCGGCUAACUACGUG